rnacentral:rRNA from 1 species
CAGCCGCCGCGGUAAUACGAAGGGUGCAAGCGUUAAUCGGAAUUACUGGGCGUAAAGCGUGCGUAGGCGGUUUGUUAAGUCUGUUGUGAAAUCCCCGGGCUCAACCUGGGAAUGGCAAUGGAUACUGGCAAGCUAGAGUGUGUCAGAGGAUGGUGGAAUUCCGCGUGUAGCAGUGAAAUGCGUAGAUAUGCGGAGGAACACCGAUGGCGAAGGCAGCCCCCUGGGCCAACACUGACGCUCAUGCACGAAAGCGUGGGGAGCAAACAGGAUUAGAUACCCGUGUAGUCCCUGUCUCUUAUAA